rnacentral:rRNA from 1 species
UACGGAGGAUCCAAGCGUUAUCCGGAUUUAUUGGGUUUAAAGGGUGCGUAGGCGGCUUAUUAAGUCAGGGGUGAAAGACGGUGGCUCAACCAUCGCAGUGCCCUUGAUACUGAUGAGCUUGAAUACACUUGAGGUAGGCGGAAUGUGACAAGUAGCGGUGAAAUGCAUAGAUAUGUCACAGAACACCAAUUGCGAAGGCAGCUUACUAAGGUGCAAUUGACGCCGAGGCACGAAAGCGUGGGGAUCAAACAGG